CAGGCGCGGUGACACCAUGGGGUGUCACCCAGACGCCACCACCAGCCUCGGUGACACCCCGAGGCGUCACCCAGACGCCACCACCGGCCUCGGUGACACCCCUGGACGCGGUGACACCCCCGGCCGUCACCCAGCCGCCCCCCCCGGGCGCCCUGCCCCCCCGCGGCCUGCCGGCAGCCCCCCCCCCGGCGGCGGGGGGGUGGCGGGGGGUGCUGGGGGCGGGGCGGCGCCCGGGGGGGGCGGUGCUGGCGGCCGCCUCGCUGCUGCUGCUGGCGGCUCACGGCGGCCUCCUGGGCGGCGACCUGCGGCGCCUGGGCCAGCGGCGGCCCCCGGGGCCCCCCCGGCUGCGGCUCACGCGGGGGCUGCUGCUGUCGCACGUGCUGAGCUUCUCGUGGGCGCUGGCGGGGGCCUUGCGCAGCGCCCGCCCCCCCCGCGCCCUGCCGAGCCGCCUGGCGCUGGCCUCCCUGGCCGCCAACGCCGCGCUCUGCCUGGGCCGCGUCGCCUUCGAGUACGGGGCCCUGCCGCACCGGCCCGAGCGCUACUGAGGCCUCGCGCGCUCGUCGCGCCGAUGCCCACGCCCGGGGGGGCCCAGGCGUCCGGGCUGCCCCCCCCCCCCCAUCCGCCACCGCCACCCGCCACCACCAAGCCGACGUCGCCCGCGCCGCCACCGGCACGCGCAAGGGGCCCAGGCGUCCGGGUGCCCGCCAAGGGCCCAGGCGUCCGGGUUCGUCUCCGUCCCGGGGAAGGGGCCCAGGCGUCCGGGUCCCCGCCAAGAGCCCAGGCGUCCGGGCCUGUCUCGCUCCCUGCGGAGGGCCCAGGCGUCCGGGCCCAGCUCCGUCCUGGGGAAGGGGCCCAGGCGUCCGGGUCCCCACCGAGGGCCCAGGCGUCCGGGCCCGUCUCCGUCCCGGGGAAGGGGCCCAGGCGUCCGGGUCCCCACCGAGGGCCCAGGCGUCCGGGCCCGUCUCCGUCCCGGGGAAGGGGCCCAGGCGUCCGGGUCCCCACCGAGGGCCCAGGCGUCCGGGCCCGUCUCCGUCCCGGGGAAGGGGCCCAGGCGUCCGGGCCGCUCGUUACCUCCCGCCUUCGUUAAUAAACGGCGCGGCCUAACGAC